UACAGAGGGUGCGAACGUUGCUCGGAAUCACUGGGCGUAAAGCGCGUGUAGGCGGAUCGGCAAGUCAGAUGUGAAAGCCCCGGGCUCAACCUGGGAAUUGCAUCUGAAACUGCCGGUCUUGAGUGUCGGAGAGGGUAGCGGAAUUCUGGGUGUAGAGGUGAAAUUCGUAGAUAUCCAGAGGAACACCGGUGGCGAAGGCGGCUACCUGGACGACUACUGACGCUGAGACGCGAAAGCGUGGGGAGCAAACAGG
rnacentral:misc_RNA from 1 species